rnacentral:lncRNA from 1 species
AGAAGUAUUUAAUUAUGAAUAUUUUGAAUGCAAAGUAUAUAUUUUUAAUCUUUUCUAUUUUGUUGGUUAAAAUAGAAGCUAAUAUUGGCAAAUUGUUAUCUGAGCUAUGUGCUUUUGGUAACUCAUGUGGAAAUAUUGAUUAUAACACGGUAAAUUAUGUUUUAAAAAAUGAAACCAGCUAUAAUUUUUGGAAUAUAAAUAAUCGCAUUUUAAGUGAUGAUGUUAUUACAUCUUUAGGUGAUGGUAUUGAUUCGGAUAUAUUAGAUAAUAUAAAUGAAGGUGAUGUUGAUAGUAACUUAAGCGAAAAAAAAAAUAAGCAGGAAGAAGUAAUGGAAGAUGUAAUAGAAGAUGUAAUAGGAGAUAAAAACAAAAAGGAAAUUAACAAAAUCGAAAAAGUUAAAAAGGAGAGUGGCGAAGAGAGUGACAAAAAAAGUGACGAAGAGAGUGACAAAAAAAGUGACGAAGAGAGCAAAAAUAAAGAUGAUGGAGAAACUAUGGAAAAGCCAGAUGAAAUAAAAAUAAAAAAACUGAUUAAUUUACACAUGUUAGAUAUUAACAAAAAUAAUAAUGUAUAUGCUACUAAUAAUAAUAAUAACAUCGCUGAUACUAAUAAAGUAGAUGAUUAUUUAUCAGUUGGAAAUGGUAUGAAAAGUUAUAUGCAAAAUGUUCAAAAGAGUACACCCAUGUCUAUAUAUAAAAUAAAUUCCAAUAUACAAUUAAAUCAUAAAAAGUAUCAAACAACUGUGAACCAUGCUAAUUUUAUAUCACUUAAAUCAAAACAAGAAGAAGAAAAAGCAGGACAAGAAGCAAAAAAUUUUGAUAUUAAAUAUUCAAAAAUAGUAUCUGAGCUAGAAUUAAAUGAAGAAGAAUUUAUUGAGUUAAAUAAUAUUAAUUCUGUAACUUUAUAUGAUAAUGGUAUAAAAGUAGAAUAUGUAUACGAAGAUUUUGAAAAAAUAUACAGCGGUGAUAAACAUCACAGAGAUAAAGAUCUUAUAGAUACAAAUACACAAACAAUAAUCCUAUAUGUAAUGAUAGGUAUAAUAUUUACACUUCUAAUUGUUACCAUUUUUAUUCUUGUUAAAUUUAAUCUUAUAGGCAAAUUAUUAUUAUCAUUUAAAAAAAAAAGAGCAUAUAACAAAUCACUAAAAAUUAGUAAUCAUAAUGAAACAGACAUAUAUAGAGAUGAGUUUUUUAACGAAAGUGCUAACAAUUAAUAGAUAUAAACAAAUGUAAUAAAAUUCUACUAGAUCAGAACA